rnacentral:rRNA from 1 species
UACAGAGGGUGCGAGCGUUGUCCGGAAUCACUGGGCGUAAAGGGCGCGUAGGUGGCGACCCAAGUCCGUGGUGAAAGCUCGUCGCUCAACGACGAGUCGGCCACGGAGACUGGGUGGCUUGAGCACUGUAGGGGCUAAUGGAAUUCCGGGUGUAGCGGUGGAAUGCGUAGAGAUCCGGAAGAACACCAGUGGCGAAGGCGGUUAGCUGGGCAGUUGCUGACACUGGAUGCGCGACAGCGUGGGGGAGCAAAC